rnacentral:rRNA from 1 species
GUCCACGCCCUAAACGAUGUAAACUCGACAUCAGCGAUACACAGUUGGUGUCCAAGGGAAACCGUUAAGUUUACCACCUGGGAAGUACGACCGCAAGGUUGAAACUCAAAGGAAUUGGCGGGGUCCGCACAAGCGGUGGAGCAUGUGGUUUAAUUCGAUGAUACGCGAGGAACCUUACCUGGGCUAGAAUGUAGUUUGACCGAUCCUGAAAGGGGUCUUUGUAGCAAUACACAGAUUACAAGGUGCUGCAUGGUUGUCGU